UGUGUGUUUCGAUGUACAUGUUGACUAAUAAAGAUAUCUUAUCUAAUCUUAUCAUGUCCCCUCUUGUAACAUCCUAUGUUCCAGGAAAACAGUCUCUCCUCAUAGCUUAAGACACUCCAGCAACCUCCUGCUGAAUCUCCUUGAAGAAACGAGCAGAAGACAGAGAACUAUCAAGGCAACUGAAAGAACAACCUGCCAUGGCAAUAGAUCUUGCCUCCUGCAAAAUACAAGAAAGACAUUGUAUGUGCCAAGGUAGUGGGCACAAUGAAACUUCCUGCCUCUCCCGUAUUGUACCGUGUGUCUUGAUCUGUUGUUCUCAGAAUACCUUAAUGCUGUGGUGGAGCUGCGCAAGGCUGAGUUGUCCCUUUGAGUGACCGACCUGGGUUGAGGCGAUGAAACAGAAGUCUCACUGGAUCCUGCUUUGCUGGUGCUUGUUCGAUUCUGAUACAAAGUGGUCCAAGUGGUCGCAGUGGACGUUUCCGUGAUGCUGCCUGACCUGCUGAGUAUUUCCCACGUUAUCCACUUCAUUUUGUACUUUCUGUGUGGCUCAAUGCAAAGUCCAGAUCACCCUUCCCAUCGGGGAAAUUAUUGCUGGAAUUGGCAGAGGUUGACUGAGAUGCUGCCUGACCUGCUGAGUAUUUCCCACUUCAUUUUGUACUUGCUGUGUGGCUCAAUGCAAAAACUAGAUCACCCUUCCCAUCGGGGAAAUUAUUGCUGGAAUUGGCAGAGGUGGACUGAGUUACAGUGAAAGCAGAUUUGCUCGGCCUGAUGUUUCCAACCUGUGCAUCUGUUGUUUCUUGGUGUGAACGGAUUGUGUAUUGUGGGGAAAUGAUCGCUUCAGAGGUUCAACGAGAAGGUCACCACCUCCUACUCAGGGGCACCAGGGAUGGGGAAUAAAUGCUGGCCUUGCCGCUGAUGCCCACAUCACAGUGAAAGAAUAAAUUUAAAAAAUCUGUGGCUGAAUAUUCAUUAUUUACCCAGACGAUCACAAUGAAGACACAAAACAGUUUGCUGAAGUUCCUCAUUUUAUCACUCUGCAGCUGCCUCUCCCAGUUUGCCCAUUUCUAUGGCGAGAGAUUUUCUUUCCCACAGUCGAAUAUCCAGCCUUGUUCAAGUCGGAGAGCAGGGAACGGUCAGCACCAGGUGUCGGUCAUUUAUUCCUGAGCUCGGUGACACCGAUACACUCACUGAGAGAACCGGCCGAUCUCCACCGGGAGAGCUCCUGAAUGUUCAGAGUAGAGGGGCAGUGGUGCCCGGCGGUUCCUGUGCCUGUGCUGAACCCCCACCCACAUGGCCAAUUGCCAGUGUAUAGGGUGAGAUUGAAGCCCUGACACCAUGUGGGUCGUGCCCUCUUCUUGCAGCUACUGUUGGGCAGGAGGUACAGAAGCGUGAAGUCCCACACCACCAGCUUCAGGAACAGCUACUUUGCUGCAAGUGUCAGGUUCUUGAACUGACCUGCAGAACCCUAACCCUACCUCAGCAACGGAACACUACACACCACCUAUUACAGUAACAUGGACUUGUCUCUGGUUUUUUUUGCUCUAAUGUCUUGUUUUGCACAGUUUUU